UACGGAGGGUGCAAGCGUUAUCCGGAUUUACUGGGUUUAAAGGGUGCGUAGGUGGAUAAGUAAGUCAGUGGUGAAAUCUUCGGGCUUAACCCGGAAACUGCCAUUGAUACUAUUUGUCUUGAAUACUUUGGAGGUAAGCGGAAUAUGUCAUGUAGCGGUGAAAUGCUUAGAUAUGACAUAGAACACCAAUUGCGAAGGCAGCUCACUAAGUCAUAACUGACGCUGAUGCACGAAAGCGUGGGGAGCAAACAGG
rnacentral:rRNA from 1 species